GAUGAACGCUGGCGGCGUGCCUAAUACAUGCAAGUAGAACGCUGAAGGAAGGAGCUUGCUCUUUCCGGAUGAGUUGCGAACGGGUGAGUAACGCGUAGGUAACCUGCCUGGUAGCGGGGGAUAACUAUUGGAAACGAUAGCUAAUACCGCAUAACAGUAGAUGUUGCAUGAUAUCUACUUAAAAGGUGCAAUUGCACCACUACCAGAUGGACCUGCGUUGUAUUAGCUAGUUGGUGAGGUAACGGCUCACCAAGGCGACGAUACAUAGCCGACCUGAGAGGGUGAUCGGCCACACUGGGACUGAGACACGGCCCAGACUCCUACGGGAGGCAGCAGUAGGGAAUCUUCGGCAAUAGACGGAAGUCUGACCGAGCAACGCCGCGUGAGUGAAGAAGGUUUUCGGAUCGUAAAGCUCGGUUGUAAGAGAAGAACGGGUGUGAGAGUGGAAAGUUCACACUGUGACGGUAUCUUACCAGAAAGGGACGGCUAACUACGUG
rnacentral:rRNA from 1 species